AGAACCUGAAACCUUGUGCCUACAAGCACAUAGAGCACAUCAACGUGUGAUAUGGUACUUUUUGUAGAACGGUCCGGCGAGCGAUUGUAUGUUGCGAGCUUAAGGUCUUAAGGACUGGAGGCGUAGCGAGAGCGAGUCUGAACAGGGCGUUCAGUAACAUGCAAUGGGCCCGAAACCGGGUGACCUACCCAUGAUCAGGCUGAAGUGAAAGUAAAAUUUCAUGGAGGGCCGAACCGACCUCCUUUGAAAAGGCGGCGGAUGAAUUGUGGGUAGCGGAGAAAUUCCAAUCGAACUCGGAGAUAGCUGGUUCUCCCCGAAAUAGCUUUAGGGCUAGCCUCAUGUUAGAUAUCCGGAGGUAAAGCACUGAAUGGCCUAGCGUCCGAGAGGAUAGCGAAGCCUAUCAAACUAAGAAUGCCGGAAUAUUGAUGCAUGGGAGUCAGACAGUGUGAGAUAAAUCUCAUUGUCAAAAGGGAAACAGCCCAGAUCUACAGCUAAGGUCCCAAAUUGUAUCUAAGUGGAAAACGAUGUGGAAAUACGCAGACAACCAGGAUGUUGGCUCAGAAGCAGCCACUCAUUUAAAGAGUGCGUAAUAGCUCACUGGUCGAGCGUCUCUGCGCGGAAAAUUUAACGGGGCUAAGAUACAAACCGAAGCUUAGGCUGCACGAAAGUGCGGGGUAGGGGAGCGUUGUGUAAGCGGAGAAACAGUAGCGUAAGCGGCUGUGGAGUUUACAGAAGUGAGAAUGCCGGAAUGAGUAGCGCGAAUGUGGUGAGAAUCCACAUGGCCGGAAACCUCAGGUUUUUGGAGGAAGGUUCGUCCGCUCCAAGUUAGGCGGGAGCUAAGGUGAGGCCGAAAGGCGUAGCCGAUGCACAGACGGUAGAGAUUCCGUCCCCACCGAAAGAUUUAAGCACAGGGACACUUUUUGAAGGUCGGAGCCAGGUGUUGGUUCUGGUAGUGAUCGAGGGAAAUAUAGUACCGAAGUCCGGCUGGAAGAGAGGCGAGAAAAGCUGUGUGUAUAUCUAAGGUGCCCGUACCGCAAACCGACACAGGUAGGUAGGAAGAAGAUUCUAAGGCCAACGGGAGAAGGGUUGUUAAGGAACUCGGCAAGUUGACCCCGUAACUUCGGAAUAAGGGGUGCUCACGAGAGUGAGCCGCAGAGAAUAGGCCCAGGCAACUGUUUACCAAAAACACAGGUUUGUGCUAAAUCGAAAGAUGACGUAUACGAGCUGACGCCUGCCCGGUGCUGGAAGGUUAAGAGGAGAUGUGCAAGCAUUGAAUCGAAGCCCCAGUGAACGGCGGCCGUAACAAUAACGGUCCUAAGGUAGCGAAAUUCCUUGUCAGGUAAGUUCUGACCCGCAUGAAAGGCGUAAUGAUUUGGGCACUGUCUCAACAGCCCGCCCGGCGAAAUUGUAGUACCGGUGAAGAUGCCGGUUACCCGCGACAAGACGGAAAGACCCCAUGGAGCUUUACUGUAGCCUAAUAUUGGGUUUCGAUGUUGCAUGCACAGGAUAGAUGGGACACAGGGAAACAAUCGCUUUGGCGGUUGCGGAGUGGCCGUUGGGAUACCAUCCUUGCGAUAUUGGAAUUCUAACCUGCGGCUCUGAAUCGAGUCGGGGGACAUUGUUAGGUGGGCAGUUUGACUGGGGCGGUCGCCUCCUAAAAAGUAACGGAGGCGUUCAAAGGUUCGCUCAGCUUGAACGGAAAUCAAGCAAAAGAGUGCAAACGCAGAAGCGAGCCUAACUGCGAGACUGACGGGUCGAGCAGUAACGAAAGUUGGAGUUAGUGAUCCGGUGGUAUGUGAGUGGAAAUGCCAUCGCUCAACGGAUAAAAG
rnacentral:rRNA from 1 species